UACAGAGGUCUCAAGCGUUUGUUCGGAUUCAUUGGGCGUAAAGGGUGUGUAGGUGGCGCGCUAAGUCGGGUGUGAAAUUUCGGAGCUUAACUCCGAAACUGCAUUCGAUACUGGCGUGCUUGAGGACUGGAGAGGAGACUGGAAUUCAUGGUGUAGCAGUGAAAUGCGUAGAGAUCAUGAGGAAGACCAGUGGCGAAGGCGGGUCUCUGGACAGUCCUGACACUGAGACACGAAGGCCAGGGGAGCAAACGGGAUUAGAACCUACCAGUCA
rnacentral:rRNA from 1 species